rnacentral:rRNA from 1 species
CUACGGGUCGCUCCAGUGAGGAAUAUUGGACAAUGGAGGAAACUCUGAUCCAGCCAUGCCGCGUGAGUGAAGAAGGCCUUAGGGUUGUAAAGCUCUUUCAAUAGUGAAGAUAAUGACGGUAACUAUAGAAGAAGCUCCGGCUAAAUUCGUGCCAGCAGCCGCGGUAAUACGAAUGGAGCAAGCGUUGUUCGGAAUCACUGGGCUUAAAGCGUGCGCAGGCGGAACAGAAAGUCAGAAGUGAAAUCCCAGGGCUCAACCCUGGAACUGCUUUUGAAACUCCUGUUCUAGAAUUCGAUAGAGGUAAGGAGAAUUCCUAGUGUAGAGGUGAAAUUCGCAGAUAUUAGGAGGAAUACCAGUGGCGUAGGCGCCUUACUGGGUCGAUAUUGACGCUCAUGUACGAAAGCGUGGGGAGCAAACAGGAUUAGAUACCCCGGUAGUC